CAAAUCGAUUCAGAAAGACUUUUAUAACAUUUGGUCUUUGAAUAGAGAAAUAAAAAGAGGAAAACAGGAAAAAAAAAUCCCAAAUCCCUUUUUAAUUUUUUUCCCAGAAACGCACCAAAGUGACCAAGGAAGGAAAUGAAGAAGCUAGCGAGAAAUUGGCGAAAAUCUCAUGAAGAGAAGUUAUCUCUCCCAACUCGUGAUGAUCCCUCUCUCGAUGAUUCUCGUCCCUUGGAUACCGAAGAACAAGAGGAGUUGGUCCGAUCGCUUGAAAGGACGCAAGCAGAGCAAUCCCUUUUUUGGAGGAGAGUGUUCGCCGGAUUUCUUUUCAGCUAUGCUGUGUUUCAACUGUACUCCAUUUACCAGAUGGCAACUUCUCCAUGGGAACUGAGGUAUCAGGCUUAUUUCAUGGAAGAUAUGGAGUCGUGGAUGGUAAUAUCUGCAGAUUGGGUAGCUAUUUUAGUUUGCUCAAUGGCCACCUUGGGGCUACUUCAUAAUUCAAAGCAUCGUAGGCGAUGGAUUUGGUACUCAUGCUUUACUGGAGCUAUACUGGCAGUUUUCUGGUUGUAUUACAUGCUGAGGAUGUCAAGAUUCCGAUGGGAUGCAAUCUGGCUUCCAAUUGGACCUCUUAGUGGAGCUGGGAUUUGUCUCUAUGUUGAUCAUCUACUUAAUGAGUCAUCAGAAGAAGUGAGAAAACUUAGAAGCUACAUGUAUGCUUUCAAAUCCAGCUAAAUUUCUGUCCAGCGGCAUUUUCAUUUUCUAGUUGAUUGAGAUUGACCUUAGUUACUAGAAUACUGAUUUGAAAGGGAGGGAAUAGCAUCAUAUAUAGAAACAAGCUAAUUGUACCUUUCUGUAAAACCACUACAGUUUUGAUUAUUUCACGAGUGAUCACAUGAUGGGUGGUGGGCGUGAAGCCCAUACAUUGACGAAGUCGUCAUGAUGCUUUUUUUUUUUCCUCUUCUAAAUUUUACAUCUCCAAAAAUUUAUGGCAACGGUUUUUGCAGACAUUUCCCUUAAAA